ensembl:lncRNA
ACAAACCACUGUGCAGAUAUUAACUUCCCCGGGCUCCUGAGAACACAAUCCAGACCUGCUGGACGUGAGGCGAGAUCCCGUAUCUGGAGGCAGAGACGACUUGGGACUGCAGAGUGCACUCAGACACUGAGUUGACCAGCGGUCCCCGCCAGCCCCGAGCUGAGUCCACUCUCUGGCUCUUUCGCCUCCAUGACCUUCCCCAGGAGAAAAAAACAAUUCCUGCCUUUAAUAUUCACAUCAGCUUCUGUGGGUCAUAAGACAAGGGCAGUCUGAGUUUUCAGGAUCUUCACAGGCCCGGAGCAUCAUCUUCUAUUGAUUCUUGUAAGAGCAGAUGACGGCAGCUCAAGAAGAAACAGCUUUGAAUCCUGCUCCAGCAGUCAGAUCAGGCUACCAGGAAAGAGAAAAAUAAGUGAAAACCUGUUUUCAUUGCCUCCUGGACCAAAGUGGGAGAGAGGAAGAGAGGCCCACCAGAGACGGAAGCCCACCAAGCUCCCCCGUCCCUGGGAUUCUCCAGGCAAGAACACUGGAAUGAGUGACCAUUUCCUUCUCCAAUGCAUGAAAGUGAAAAGUGAAAGUGAAGUUGCUCAGUCACAUCCGACUCUUCACAACCCCAUGGACUGUAACCUACCAGACUCCUCCGUCCAUGGGAUUUUCCAGGCAAGAGUACUGGAGUGGGUUGCCAUUUCCUUCUCCAGAUAAAUACCUAGCAAAACUCUGUCAAAAAUGAAUAUGGAAGAAAUAGAAAACCUGCAGGGUUCUAUAACUAUUUACAAAAUUUAAUCACUAAUUUAAAUUCUAUUCUCGGCUGGAUCAUAAGUACAUAGAGUUUAUGACACUAUUCUCUUCACUUUUUAUGAUGGCAAAUUUGAAGUACAAACAAAAGUAAAAUGAAUAAUAACUCCCCACAUAGAAAUGUUUUUGCAGGUAAAUUCUAUCAAACACUCAAGUAAGAGGAAUUCUAAUUUCUUUUUUCUUUUUUUCUUUUUCAGUUGGAGGAAAAUUGCUUUAUGAUGUUGGUUUGUUUUCUGCCGUAAAAUGACACAUAUCAGCCAUAAAUAUAUGUGCAUCCCCAUGGAAUUUUAAUUUCUCACACAAUUUUUCAGAUACUAGGAGAAGAGGAAACAGCAUAACUCAUCUUUUAUGCAAAUAAAAUCUUGAAGUCAAAAGCAGAUGAAGAUGAGAUGAGAAAGGAAGCUUCAGGCCAGAGGAGUGAGUCACACUGAGAACUGAUGUGUGUCCAUGCAGAGGUUGAAUUCCAUGGUGACCUUGCCUUUCAACUAAAAUCAAGCCAUGCUGCUGCUGAGUCGCUUCAGUCGUGUCCGACUCUGUGCGACCCCAUAGACGGCAGCCCACCAGGCUCCCCCAGCCCUGGGAUUCUCCAGGCAAGAACACUGGAGUGGGUUGCAAUUUCCUUCUCCAGUAAAUCAAGCCAUAUUUUACAUUAAAAUCUUUCUCAUCCUUCCCCUUUUACAUUGUGAUUUAUGGUAAGACCCUUCCAUUAACACCUGAUAAACU